GCAGAACCCGAUUCGGGUUCCCGGACGAUGGGUGCCGUACCCGGCGACGCGACAAGACGGCCCACA
rnacentral:ncRNA from 1 species